rnacentral:rRNA from 1 species
AUAUCCACGAAACCCUAAGGCGCAAUGAAAGUGAAGGUCAGGCACAGCACUGACUGAGGCAGGAUCCGUCCGGGUGAGCGAAGCUCUUCUUCCUUUCGCGGGUUCGUCCCGCGGGGGAGCUCGGCGGCGCACUGCCAGCCCAUCUCGGCCGCUUCCUGUCGGCGAGGUGGAGCUAGAGCGCACACGUUGGGACCCGAAAGAUGGUGAACUAUGCUCGGGCAGGACGAAGCCAGAGGAAACUCUGGUGGAGGUCCGUAGCGAUUCUGACGUGCAAAUCGAUCGUCGGACCCGAGUAUAGGGGCGAAAGACUAAUCGAACCGUCUAGUAGU